GAUGAACGCUGGCGGCGUGCCUAAUACAUGCAAGUCGAGCGAACAGACGAGGAGCUUGCUCCUCUGACGUUAGCGGCGGACGGGUGAGUAACACGUGGAUAACCUACCUACAAGACUGGGAUAACUUCGGGAAACCGGAGCUAAUACCGGAUAACAUGUUGAACCGCAUGGUUCAACAGUGAAAGACGGUCUUGCUGUCACUUAUAGAUGGAUCCGCGCCGCAUUAGCUAGUUGGUAAGGUAACGGCUUACCAAGGCAACGAUGCGUAGCCGACCUGAGAGGGUGAUCGGCCACACUGGAACUGAGACACGGUCCAGACUCCUACGGGAGGCAGCAGUAGGGAAUCUUCCGCAAUGGGCGAAAGCCUGACGGAGCAACGCCGCGUGAGUGAUGAAGGUCUUCGGAUCGUAAAACUCUGUUAUUAGGGAAGAACAAAUGUGUAAGUAACUAUGCACGUCUUGACGGUACCUAAUCAGAAAGCCACGGCUAACUACGUG
rnacentral:rRNA from 1 species